AUGUAUUUGUAUCUGAAGUCUUACAAGAAAAGUAUCACUUCAGUGUGUUUCCUUCUUAUGUUUUUGACUGAGAUAUUUGAAAUCCAGGUAUCUUUGUAACAGGAACAUAUGUUUAAGAAAGAAAAGCUGUUUACAGUUUGUCUAAAAGAAUAUGAAUAAGUAAAAAUACGUUUUUUUUCCCUUUCAUUUUAUUUCCUGAAAACUUAAAACAAUGCAUAAUCAAGAAAAAUGUGAAUUCAAGGGACAAUGGGUGAAAUUCAGAACCUUCUUUAGUCAGUGGGAAGUCUUACUGACUUCAAUGAAGCCAAUAUUUUACCUGAUGCACCAACGUUCCAAUUCUUAUGAAAAUGCAGUGGAAAACCUGUUUCUCUCGAGGCCUAUAACUACAUCUGCUGUGUUGGUGCAACUGGAUUGAAGAAAGGACGUUU
rnacentral:lncRNA from 1 species